GUGCUUGACUUGGCAGCACAUAUUUGAGCAAAAAUUGGAACAACUUGCUGAAGAUUAGCAUAGCCAGGCACAAGGAUGACAUGCAAAUUCAUCAAGUGUUCUCUGUUUUU
ensembl:snRNA U6 U6 spliceosomal RNA